GACGAACGCUGGCGGCAGGCCUAACACAUGCAAGUCGAGCGGAGCGGCGGACGGGUGAGUAAUGCCUAGGAAUCUGCCUGGUAGUGGGGGCUACCGUCCGGAAACGGGCGCUAAUACCGCAUACUAUCAGAUGAGCCUAGGUCGGAUUGGUUAGUUGGUGGGGUAAAGGCCUACAAAGGCGACGAUCGGUAACUGGUCUGGCAGGCUGAACAGUGAAACUGGAACGGAGAAAUGUUCCAGACUCCUAGGAGAGGCACCAGUGGGGAAUAUUGGACAAUGGGCGCAAGGCUGAAUCAGCCAUGACGCGGGUGUGAAGAAGGUCUUGGGACUGUAAAGUACAGUAAGCUGGGAGGCGGUACCAAAAGAAUAAGCACCGGCUAAUUACGUGCCAGCAGCCGCGGUAAUAC
rnacentral:rRNA from 1 species